rnacentral:tRNA from 1 species
GCAAAGUUCUCAUAAUGGUAUUGGAGAUGAUUGCUAAUCAUUCGGUCGUUAAUUCGGCUUGUAGGUUCGAAUCCUGCACUUUGCG